rnacentral:tRNA from 1 species
AUUAUAGUAGUUUAUUUAGAAUUGUAAUUUGUGAUAUUACAGGAAGAUUAUAUCUCUUUAAUC